rnacentral:lncRNA from 1 species
AAAAAAGGAAAAAGCCCUAAAUUUGACUUAAACUUCUAUGUAACAGUUGCUAAAUGCUACAUCGAACAAAUUAUCGGAGAAGAACGAAUCAGUAGAGAAUUGUUCUACGACAAAUUCAGCGAAUUAGCGGCUCGUCACCUUCAUCGACAACAGCGGCUCAUCACCUUCAUCGACAACAACAUCUCAUAUUUUAGGUUCUUCUCAUCUUUAAGGUUAAUUGCUUAUUUAAAUCUAAUAUAUUAUUGAUUUUCAAUCUUGGCCUCUCAUCCCUUUUAUAUACGAUGUACUCUUGAA